rnacentral:tRNA from 1 species
GCCGACAUAGCUCAGUAGGUAGAGCGCAUCCAUGGUAAGGAUGAGGUCACGGGUUCAAAUCCCGUUGUUGGCUCUA